CCUACGGGAGGCAGCAGUGGGGAAUUUUGGACAAUGGGCGCAAGCCUGAUCCAGCAAUGCCGCGUGAGUGAAGAAGGCCUUCGGGUUGUAAAGCUCUUUUGUCAGGGAAGAAACGGUGGGAGCUAAUAUCUCCUACUAAUGACGGUACCUGAAGAAUAAGCACCGGCUAACUACGUGCCAGCAGCCGCGGUAAUACGUAGGGUGCAAGCGUUAAUCGGAAUUACUGGGCGUAAAGCGUGCGCAGGCGGUUUUGUAAGUCUGUCGUGAAGGCCCCGGGCUCAACCUGGGAAUUGCGAUGGAGACUGCAAGGCUUGAAUCUGGCAGAGGGGGGUAGAAUUCCACGUGUAGCAGUGAAAUGCGUAGAGAUGUGGAGGAACACCGAUGGCGAAGGCAGCCCCCUGGGUCAAGAUUGACGCUCAUGCACGAAAGCGUGGGGAGCAAACAGGAUUAGAUACCCUGGUAGUCCACGCCCUAAACGAUGUCUACUAGUUGUCGGGUUUUAAAUUACUUGGUAACGCAGCUACGUCGUGAGUAGACCGCCGUGGAGGUACGGUCGGUCGAGAGUUAAACGUUACUAAGUUAGUUAAGUUAGACGGCGUUGAGACGNGCGACGGACGACGACGAGGGAGGAGG
rnacentral:rRNA from 1 species